UACGUAGGUGGCAAGCGUUGUCCGGAUUUACUGGGCGUAAAGAGCGCGCAGGCGGUCGUUCAAGUCGAGUGUGAAAGCCCCCGGCUCAACUGGGGAGGGUCACUCGAUACUGAUCGACUCGAAGGCAGGAGAGGGAAGCGGAAUUCCCGGUGUAGUGGUGAAAUGCGUAGAUAUCGGGAGGAACACCAGUGGCGAAGGCGGCUUUCUGGCCUGCACUUGACGCCGAGGCGCGAAAGCUAGGGUAGCAAACGGG
rnacentral:rRNA from 1 species